rnacentral:lncRNA from 1 species
GAUCCGCCCGCCUUGGCCUCCCUAAGUGUUGGGAUUACAGGCGUGAGCCACCACGUCUGGCUAAUUUUUGCAUUUUUAGUAGAGAGAGGUUUCACCAUGUUGGCCAGGCUGGUCUCAAACUCCUGACCUUGUGAUCUGCCUGCCUCAGCCUCCCAAAGUGUGAGCCAGCGCUCCCUGCUGAUUUUUGUAUUUUUAGUAGAGACGGGGUUUACCAUGUUGGCCAACCUGGUCUCAAACUCCUGACCUCAGGUGAUCUGCCUGCCGCGGCCUCCUAAAGUGAUGGGAUUACAGGCAUGAGCCACCAUGCCUGGCCUGUAUAUCUUAUUUUGAGAAAUGUCUAUUCAGAUCUUUUGCCUAUUUUUAAAUUGGAUUAUUAUGUUUUUUCCUUAAAGAGUUGUUUGAGCUCCUUAUAUGUUCUAGAUUUUGGAUUUUCGAAUUAGGGAUGCUCAACCUGGUAAGUAUUAUGCAAAUAUUCUAAAAUCUGAAAAAGAAUUUGAAAUCCAAAACACUUCUGGUUGCAAGCAUUUUGGAUAAGGGAUACUCAACUUGUACUAACCUGUGACCCCUGACUUCAGAGACUUUGCAAUCCUGGGAGACUGAAUAUAAUCAGGUGCUAAGAUGCAGUUGUAUGCAAGCUGACAGGAAGACAAUUUGGCCCAGUGUUCCUGAGGUAGACUUCAUGGCAAGAAGGGAUUUAGCUAUUCAUAGAAGAGUGUGUAGGUCAUUUAGAGAUGGAGGAUGGAAAGAGAGUGGAAGCAAAAGCCAGAAACAAGAGAAGAACCUGCUAGAGGUGUAAAAUGCAAACUGGUCAGUAGUUGGACAAAAGACUGAAGGAUCUAGAAUGUAAGAAACCUUGAAUGAAAGUCAGGAUGAGUGGUUUUGGUCUGAUGAGACUCUUGCUUUUCCAUUAAGCAGUGUUUGGAGAUUAAUUUGGAGGUGAUAUGGAGGACAAAUUGCUCACAGGGCUCCCACUGAGCAAAUGUCCUGCAGGGACAGCAGGUCUGAGUGGGAGCCAUGAGUUUCCCAGAUGUGCUCCAGGUUCCACAUUAAAGCCAGGUGGCAGGUGGGGCCUAUUUCUUUUUCUCUGUCCAUAAGACUGUUCACCCAUUGGGAAGAACCAUAUACUAUAUCAUCUGACCUUUUUCAUUUAGCCCAGCCUAUGGCUAACUGUGUCAUUUUGGUGUCCAUUAGCCCAAGGUUUUUACUCUGGCAACACUAAUGGGGACCUAUGGAAGUGGAAUGUGCUAUUUCAGUUUCAGUGUGAGCCAUCACGCCUGGCCUGAAAGUCUUGAAAAAAAUAAAUUAAAAUUUUCAUUUGAGUUUUUUGGAACAUACAGAUACAGUUGACCCUUGAACAACAUGGGUUUGAACUUCACAGAUCCACUUAUAUGUGAUUUUCUUCCAUCUCUGCCACCCCUAAGACAGCAAGACCGACCCCUUUUCUUCCUCCUCCUCCUCCUCCUCAGCCUACUCAGCAUGAAGAUGACAAGGAUGAAGACUUACGAUGAUCCACUUUUGCUUGAUGAAUAUUAAAUAUAUUUUCUCCUCUUCAUGAUCUUCUUAAUAACAUUUUUUCCUAGCUAGCUUAUUCUAUUGCAAGAAUACAGUAUUAAUACAUGUAACAUAUAAAAUUUGUGUUAACUGACUUUAUGUUAUCAGUAAAACUUCCAUUCAACAGCAGACUACCAUUAGUUAACUUCUGGGGAAGUCAAAAGCUAUACAUGGGUUUUUGACUGCAGGGGGGUCAGCACUCCUAGACCCAGUGUUGUUCAAGGGUCAACUGUAGCAUAUGAAUUUAGAGCCUCUCUGUGAGAGCUGCCUUGUGGCUAGAACUUCUCAAUGGAGACUUUUUCUCCUCUACUUUCUGCCAAGGUCAAGAGAAAUACAUGUCUCUUUCUGCAUGGCGGGUUUAUUUUUUAUUGUCCAUUAUUGAGCAUGAGGAACUUGGUGCUCCAGCUUUGGGUGGGUCUCUACCCACCCACUUCAGAGCACGUCUGAAGUGACUUUACUGAGCUGAGCGUUACCACCAUAGUGAGUGCUAUUGGUAACCUGCCCAGAUCACCUUACUGGCUGGUGCAUCAGCCCCUCCCCUUAGUUUCUGCGAGUGUGCAAAUCAGUGGGAGACCAGGUAUCCCCUUUGAUCUUCUUCAUCUAAAGUGUCUUCCUACUUAUGUGAUUCUGUGUACUAUGGAGCUCUUAGGAAAUAGAAAUGGAAGUUGAAGUUAUUAGAAGUGAAAGGAUCAGCCUACAAAAAUAGCUUCCAACAGAUAAAAUCCAGCAUCUGCUCCAUUUCUCUCCAGUUAGGAAUGCGCAGCCAAACUAGGGUAAUAUCAGCAGGACACCAGUUAUAUUUCUCUGGAUAAAUGGUUAAUUUUCUUCUUUCUUUUUUUUCUUUUCUUUUCAGACGGAGUCUUGCUCUGUCACCCAAGCUGGAGUACAGUGGUACAAUCUCGGCUCACUGCAACCUCCGCCUCCUGGGUUCAAGCGAUUCUCCUGCCUCAGCCUCCCAAGUAGCUGGGAUUACAGAAGCGCACCACCACACCUGAUCACUUGCUCUGGGGGAAACCAGCAGCCAUGUUGUGAGGACACCCAAGCAGCUCUAUGGAGAGGCCUACAUGGAGAGUAACCAAGGUCCCCUAUCAAUAGCCAGCAAGGAACAGAAGCCUCCUGCCAACAGUCACGUGUGAGCCAUGUUGAGAGCAGAUCUUUCAGUCCCAGUCAGACCUUCCAAUAAUUGUAGCCCUAGCUGAGAAUUUGACUGAAAUAUCCGGAACCACAUCUGCCUAGUUAAGCCACUCCCAAAUUUAUAACCCACAGAACAGAAACUACAUACAAUAAUACAUAAUUGUUUAUUGUUUUAGGCUGUUAUGUUUUGGGAAUAAUUUGUUAUGCAGCAUUAGAUGACAUAUACAUUCCGUCACAUAAAAUUACACUUCAUCAGAUCAGGAUGGUUGGUUUGUGUUUGUGGUGGGUAUUUAUGUGUAUUAGUAACCAGUGGAGGCCUGACAGUAAUCACUAGGGGACCAAUGGCUCAGGCAGGCAGAGUGUUCCCUGCCUCAGGGCCUGGCAUUCUGAUGCAGAAGGCCAGGUGUUGGUGUGGUGGCCAUCUUUGGGCCUUCUGGUCCUGAUUGGUUGGGUUACAGUGCCAGGAUCCCUGUACUGAGGUUUCAGGUAGGUUAGCUUGGGGGAAGGCAUAUGACACACAGGCAGUUUUGGAUUUGGGGCUUGGACCUGGGUUCCAUGGAAAUCAGGCAUUGCAACAUCUUCGUUAGCCUUGCCAGGAGAGAUUGGUGUGAAAUAAUUUAUCCUGUUUCUCCUGGUCACAUGUCCCUAUUAUUCCAUUGCAGUUUGUAUAUAUAUGUGAAGUUUUGGUGCUGGAUUGAGAAGGGAAGGGAUUUGGGAGGGAAGUUAGAAAUUAUUUUAAUUGUACAGCUUAUGAAAUUGCUGUAAAAAUCUUCGUCUCUCUGCCAGGGCUUUGCCUGACUUUCUGAGUCUGGGGGAUUCUCCUGAGAACCCCUGGGGGCCUGGUUGGGUGGUGGCUGUAACAGUUGAUGAGGUUAAGGUGGCUGACUCUCUUUAGAACACUCAGAGACAUGGGUGAGAGGGUCUCUGGGGCCCUCUGAGGCCUCACUGCUUACCUGGGUCUGGGAGCACAGAGUGGAGGAAAGGAAGGAGCUGUGUGCAAGAUAGCUGGGCUGUUGCAGAGUCCUGGACUGUGACUCCCACCCUACCUAGGCUCUGCCCUUGCCAUCAAGGCCUUCUUAAUGGUCUGGCCCCUGGCUUCUUCCCCCUAAGAAAUAUUCUGCAUAGAACCAUGAUAUGACACUAAGUGAACAUAGAAUCCCCAGAGACAACGCUCUGCAUUGUACCUUUUGCAAAACUCUUCAGAGAAACCAUCUUCAAGGUCUUUUGUACAAUAAUCAUGUUAUCAAAUUCCUUUUAGAAUUUGGUGCAUGAAAAAGAUUUUUCUGCCCUGGGUAAGGCAGGUUUCCUUCCAAGAUAAGAGGCACUGGGCAACUCACUCGCUCCUGUGAUUCACUGUUUUCACUCCCUGUUUUGUGCUCCAUGGUGUAAGCUUCCCUUGGGCUGGGUACUGGGGUAUCACCAGUCUUCCCACCAAUCCCCACUCUCCAUGACUGGUCUUUGGUCCAUUUACCUUUAUUUUCAUUCACUUUCAUUUACUUUGAUUCAUUUAUCUAUUUGUAGAGACAAGGGUCUUGCUCUGUUGCUCAGGCUCAUCUGAAACCCCUGGCCUCCCACUUCAGCCUCUUAAAGUGUUGGGAUUACAGGUGUGAGCCACCACUCCUGGCCAGACUUGUUGUUGUUAAGACAGCGUCUCACUCUGUUGCCCAGACUGGAGUGCAGUGACGUGAUCUUAGC